UUUUUAUUACUCUUCCAAACUUAGCUCAAUCCCUCUCAUCCACUCAAACUCACAAAUUCUUUCAGGGGUUUCUUCUCCAAAUUCUCUCCAAGGAUCUUCAAUUCAAUUAGGAUUUCAUCAAGCUUCAAGGUUUCUUCCUCCAUUUUCAGGACUUUGAUUACCCAAGGUACAUGCGAAUUCAUCAAUGGAUUCCUUUCAUCCAUUGGUUUCCAAAAGAAAAUCAAUCUCUAAUUCAAUUUCACCCAAAUUAUGUAGGUUUCAUGUUGAUCUUCAUGGGUCCAAUUUAUUAUAAUAAAUUUUUAAUAUUUAAUAUUAUUAUGCACGAUUUGAUUCAAGUACAUGUAUUUUAAUUGAUUUCAUAUAGACCUAUGUUUUAUGCUUGACUUUAUAUAUGAACUUGUGAACUUCAAUUUAUGAAUUGAUUAUGAAUUCAUGCAUAUUUUAUGAAAUUGAUAAUUUAUAACUAAAAGGUAUUUAAAUAUAAAAUUUCAAUGAUUCGUGAAAAGGUUUUCUUAUUUGAAAAGAAAUCACGAUUUAGAUGCUUAGAUAAGUAAAUGUCUUAGGAACAAGUUUAUGAAAUCAUGAUUUUUAAAUGAGCUAUUCUAAUAUGAACUUAUGAUUGGAUUGAUUGUCUUUAAUUGUUGUCUUUCCAAGUAUUUUGAUGAUAAUUAUUUAUUUUCUAUUGGGAUUACUUAGCAGUGAGAGGACUUUGAGAUAGAGGUCUUCCCAUUAUGAAAGGUUGGUCUCUAGAAGCAAUCUCCUUGUCUCAUUCUACGUGCACCCGUAGAAUUGUCUUAAGUGACCUAGCUAGUGGAUCCACCUUAUAAAUAAUGAAUGAUAUAGACUUCUAACUUGGAAAAAAGGCUUCUAUAUUUUUGGUGUUAAGGUUACAUUGGAUUUUAUGUUAUAGAUGACAUAGUCUUAUUGUCGGUUAACAACAAAUAUCUCGCAAAUGAGCUAUGUUUUUUCAAAAGUCUUUUAGAGCAUUUUUAAGAUUUUCAAUAUGCAUUGACCUUGUCAUGAACCAUGAUCCUCUUUAAAGGAUUUUACAACAUCCUACUUUGUCAUGCACAUCAUGAUCAAGUUCAUCAAAUAUCAUGCCUACGAUUUAUGUAUUUCACUUAACUCGUUAUUAUCAAAGUACUGAUGCACAAUGUGUCUGUAUUGUUUCAUAAUGUAGGAUUCAACGUUCCUCCUCUUGGAUGUGGAUAGAUAGAGAUUGCUCUACUACAAAUUGGAUUGGUGAAUCCUCAUAUUUUGAGAGCAAGGCUAUGGACUGCUUUAUUACUUUUUGAUGUCAUUGAGUUUUUAGAUUUCAUUUAUGACAUAUGGGUUUGAUCUAGUCACAUCUAUGAGUAAAAAAGGCUUAUGUCAAACUUAGUAGUAUUUCACAUGUUCUCUUAUGUACUCAUUUGAUAUCGCUUAUCUCAUUUACAAUGAUGAGACUUAUAUUGUUUACUACUUUUUGAGCAUGUGCUUCGCACGUGUGUUUCAUGUAACAAUUACAAAAUAAUAAUAAAG
rnacentral:lncRNA from 1 species